UGUAAGAAAGCCUGUCCUUUUAAGAGUGACUGGUGACUGUCAUUUCUGUUUUAUUCACCUGUAAGAAAGCCUGUCCUUUUAAGAGUGACUGGUGACUGUCAUUUCUGAUUUAUUCACCUGUAAGAAAGCCUGUCCUUUUAAGAGUGACUGACGUCACAACUAACGUGAGCUUGCAGCGUUAAUUAUCCUAACACCCAAGUUUAGCUCGCCAACUGUGGCUGUGCAGGGAAUCUCCGGUUUUCUAACAUUAUUAUUCUAACUAUUUUAUCCUUCACUGGCAAUCACUUCUUUGGCAUUUGAUUCUACUGUGCAGAGUUGUUGGGACCUGGUUUGGUUCUCAGGUGAGGGUUGUUUCUUUUGGAUUAUCCUCUGAUCAGCCUGAGGAUAUUGGCUGAAGAUGUAAAGCAGGGGUGUCAAACUCAUUUCAUGGAGGGCCUAAUGUCUGGUUUUUGUUUUUUCCUUUCAAUUAAGACCUAGACAACCAGGUGACGGAGUUCCUUACUAAUAAGUGACCUUAAUUCAUCAAUCACGUACAAGGGAGGAGAGAACCCGCAGACACUCGUCCCUCUGUGGAAUGAGUUUGACACGUGAUGUAAAGGAAAUAAAUACUACAAAACAUGAAAUAACCAGGUUACAUUUAAGGCUAUAGAACUAUGAUAGUGCUUUGCAUUUUAGCCUCAUGGAGAGCCACCUUUGGCAGUUAUCUUUAGUGGUCUUAAAUGGGCAGCACCAUACAUUUUAUAGGUAUUUCCUCUCCCUUUUCACUAUUGGGCCUAUCCACAAUCAUGUGCCUGAUGAGCAGGCAAUGACCUACAGAUACCGUGUCAUGUUUUUCCAUCAGAGAGAUCACAUGAACAAGCUUUUUC
rnacentral:lncRNA from 1 species